rnacentral:lncRNA from 1 species
UACCAUUUGAUUAAAAAUCUGCAAAAGAGAUAGAUUAUUAAGAAAUACAUGAGACAAAACUGAAAAAUUCAUAUAAAGUUUGGUGUUUUCAAGUCAAAGAGAUUAGAGAGAGGUUGGAGAGUUUUAGAAUGAUGAACAUUAGAUUUUUGUUGCAGCCAUUUGAGAGGAGGAGAGAGAAUGUGUAAAUUUUUAUUUUUAUAGGG